rnacentral:rRNA from 1 species
GACGAACCGUGCGAACGUUGUUCGGAAUCACUGGGCUUAAAGGGCGCGUAGGCGGGCCCUCAAGUCCGGGGUGAAAUCCUCCCGCCUAACGGGAGAAGAGCCUCGGAGACUGAGGGCCUCGAGGGGGGUAGGGGCGUGCGGAACUAUGGGUGGAGCGGUGAAAUGCAUUGAUAUCCAUAGGAACUCCGGUGGCGAAGGCGGCACGCUGGACCCCUUCUGACGCUGAGGCGCGAAAGCCAGGGGAGCAAACGGG